ACUGGUGCUCACCACUGGCUGUAUUCUUAUACUGACUGUACUGAAAGAGGAAGCAGAGUAAACCUACCCGUAUACACAGCCGCCCAGGGCCUUCACUUGUCUGUAUUGUGAAUGAAGGAAAAUGG
ensembl:snoRNA